rnacentral:lncRNA from 1 species
AGGAGCUGCAAUAAAACAAAUUUGGACGGGUGUGCGUCUUGCGGGUCGUUGUGGACACCGUGAGUAUUGCGGAAGGAAGAAGGGGACUGCAUGGGGGGAGACCACCACACUACUACUUCUUCUUCUUCUUCGUCUUCUUCUUCCUCUUCCUCCUCAUCUCCUGCGCCGCUGCGCCGCCUGCGCCCUCGUCCCUCUCAGUGAAUCAUUCUCCCACCGUGGUAAAUAUGCCCCCCAAAAAAUCAUCCCAUCUUUUUCUGCCUGUUUUCUCAUCCUGCAUGUUGCUGUCGUGUUGUUUACACAUCACCCCCCACCCAUCAUCAUCAUCAUCAUCAUCAGCGGCAGCAGCAGCCAUUGUUUAUGGGUCUGAGAGAGAGGGAGAGAGGGAGAGAGGGAGAGCGGGGUUAGCCGAUGGCUGUUUAUAUUUUCAGGAGCACGCGGAUAUUCUCCUCCAUCUUCCUCCCAUCAGCUCCUGUCUGCCUCCACAUCUCUCUCUAUCUGCCUGACUCUCUGUCCAUCCUCCUCUCUCACCCUCUCUCCCUCACUCCCUCUCUCUCUCUCCUCUUCCUCCUCGCGCAGCCAGCUCCAUCUCGUGAUUUAUGUUGAGGCAGGGUGUCAGCGUGCGGCCGCGGCUGCCAUUGUGUGUUUGUGAGGGAGUGCUGUUGUUUACGGUGCCGCGCGCGAUAAAUCAUGAUUCCUCCUCCUCCUCCUCCUCCGCUGUGAGGAGAAGAAGAAGAGGAGAAAAAUGACGGUCGAUGGAGCGAUGAUACACCGGAACGAGGAAGGAGAGGACGGAGAAGAGGAGGAGGAGGAAGAGGAGGAGGUAGAAGAAGUCUCGCCUCUGCCGCCGCCGGCUCCUCUCCUCCCGGCUCUCCUCCUCCUCCUGUUCCGGCUCCUCUUCCUCCUUCCUCUCCAUGCCCUCACACACCUGAUUAUUACUCUCUCGCUCUCUCUCCCCCUCCUCUCUCUCUUUUCUUCUUGAAUUACUGCGGAGACCAAUUAACGGGAGAUUUGUUUAAAUCUGCCUCACCGGGGCUCGCCUCGGCCGCCAUGAAAUCUCAUAAAAACAGGAGAAACUCUCAUCCAUCAGCCGGGAGGUGAGAGUCAGGAGCUGGAGCUGUUAGAGACGCGGGUUCGAGCUCAGCCAUGCAGGGCCUGCUCUGGACAGGAGCUUUGCAGGGACAAACAGAGCAGCUUUGGAAACCUUUCACCUGUUAGAGACUGAGUGUUUAACUUUGAGUUUAGUAGAGCAGACUCUCUUCUCCUCCUCUUCUCCUCUCAUUCCUCCUCUCCCAGUUUCUCCUGUUUUCUUUGGAGGACUGCUGGAAUGGAGCUCAGCGCCAUUUUUCAUGUCAGCACUCAGUGUCUCUGUCUUUGCUCAAAUCCUUCAACGUGAAUUCUUCUUACUGUGCAGGAAAACAACAUGCAGACAUUUGGGGGAGUUUCCCUCCUUCUUUGAAAAACUCUCUUAUAUUUAUUAUUUCUAAUGUUUUCUUCAUUCACGUCCUCAGUUUGUGUUUCAGUCUGAGCAGGAAAAUCUGACUAAAGGACAUUUGGAGCUUUGAGAGGUUUGCAUGGAGUCAGAUAAUUUCAUGAGAGUGUGUGUGUGUGUGUGUGUGUGUGUGUGUGUGUGUGUGUGUGUGUGUGUGUGUGUGUGUGUGUGUGUGCUGCAGGUUUGGUGUGGAGUCAGCAGGUAACAUGAGCAAAGUGCAAGAAAAGGAGUCAGAGGAGUCAAAGAUGGAUCAGAUAUAUUUUUAUUUAAACACAAAAACAAACAUUUAUUCUGCAGGACAAUUACAAUAAUAAUCAUAAUAAUAAUAAUAAUAAUAAUAAAUAAGAACUGGGUGGGUUAGUUCACCGGAAUCAUUUCCCAAUCCCAUUUCCUUGGCUGAGUUCGUCUCCUCCUCUCUCUCUCUGUCUCCCCCCUCGGCCAUCUCUACCUGUGUAAACCUCAGUGUAACCAAAUUACCGCGUCCCCUCGUCCUCCCAUCACGUAAUAACAGCAGCAGCAGCUCUUCUCUAAAUGUGUAUUCUCUCUGUCCGCCGCCGUGUCACAAACAAUAUCCCGCCUCAUUUCUGCGGACGGAGACAGAGAGGGGGAGUGACAGCCUCUCCUUCCGCCUUUUUUCAUAUAUAUUUAAAUAUUUUUCCCCCUCUGCCUAUCUCGACCUCAUAUCUGAUUUGUGUGACAGGGGAAGAGCUGGAAACACAUUUCCUCACGCCUCUGCGGGCGCCUGCAGGCACAGGAGGAGUGUUUUCUGCUCCGAGAGGCGAAAGUUAAAAGAGGAGAGCUCAGCUGACUCCAAAAAUUAGUCAAAGAAUAAAAUAGUCCUCCGUCAGCCCCGUGAAGGGAGCAGGCGGAGGUUUAUCUUAUCUUAUCCAGGCAUGUGUCCACGGCUGAGUGUGUUUGUGUGGGAGAUAGUUCCACAUCAAACCGGCUGAAAUAGUUCAAAUAUUUGGAUCGGUGUUGAGAAAUGAUAUCAGGCUCAGUUUGACAUCCAUUAAAGCUGCAGGAGGGAGGGCAGGAGGCCUCUGCCUGCAUCCAAACAACACACAGAUCUACUCCUAACACUCCUACUGCUGCUGCUGCUUCACUCUUCUCUCUGCUCCUCAGAUUAAAAGCCUCCUCAGUCCCAGAAAAGGUGCGUUAAUGUGUGACUUUAGGCUCAGCAGCUCCUCUCAGACUCUUGGAGUCAAAUUAAUGUUUAGCUGCAGAACAAAAGCAGCUUCAUGAGGAAACGGUCCUGACCCACAAUCAGACUUUCUCACUUUAAACAGAUCUGUGGACUAUCAGAGCAAAGGCUGCUAAAGACAAUUCUCCUUUAAUAUUUUCCCACUUAAGUUUUUUCUUCUACUAAAUUUAACUCUAAAAUAAACCACCAUGCUCCUUUAAAUCUAAAUGUAUUAUCAGUUUUAUUUUUACCCGUUUCAGUUGUCAGCAGAAAUGUAGAAAAACGUGUCUUUAACGGAUUAAAUCUCGCGCGUAAAAACUCACCGAAAUGAAACAUCUCUGUGUCUGAAACCUCCGUUUAUUAUCUCACUGCAAACCCACGCGUCUGAAGCAAACAGGCACGCGGACAAGACUCCACACGAGUCGCAUCUUCCCACUCACUACAUACAACGACUGGCAGCCAUAUUGUCUUCUCCUCUGUUCUUUUCCCACGCAGGAAUAAAAGGUCGACAAAAAACACGGAGUGAGAAUCACGAGAAAAAACGGUUAAUUAAGAUAAAAACAGGAGUGACACUUUGUUCAAUCAAACCUAUCAGAAUAUCACGUGUAAUAGUUUUAUAUUUAAUAAUUAUAUAUUUAUAUUUUAAGACUAUUUUUACUCUCGUUUGAAGCAGAUUAUAAAACUCCAUUGAAUCAGGAGGACAAAUCUGACCAAUCCAAACAUCCAAAGUGCAAAGACGUUUUUAAAAUUAUUAUUCUGUAAGUGAAUUUAAUCAAACAAGUUUUUAAUCGUUAGUUUUAUGUCUUUAGGAUCAAGUAGGUCAAUAAAUUCACGUCUAAAAUAAAAGACCGUAUUUUAGACAUAAGGAACAUUUUUCAGACGUAUUUUAUGAAGCUGUUUUUUACGCAAAUUUGAUAAUAGAUUUACUUUAAACCUGCAGAAAUUUACUGUAAAAAAAGAAGCUAAUUACACAUUAAAAAUACAUUUAAAAAAAAAGAGCUGCAGUGUCGAAUUUACCGUCUCAGCUCUCCUUAUUGUCGCUCCAAGCUUUAGUCAGAAACGGCGUUUAUUCCCAGAGUUUUACGCAUGAACGGAGAUCUUCACUCUCUGGACCAAAAUCUGCUGAAUUUUUACCAAAAAAAAAAAGAGGGAGAAAAAAAACUGAGGAGAGCAGCGUGAGGUUAAAAAAGGACCGGAGCAGAAGUUCUCACAUAAAUCAGAGAAACGCUCGGCCUCAUAAAUCUGCAGCUGCUGGACGUUAACGAGCCAAAGAUUAAAGUGAAGGAGAGAAUAAUGUCAACAAGAGAGAGAGAGACUUUACCUCAGCGAGCUAACGAGAGGAGAGACAACAACACGACAGGACAUAUAACUGUUAUUAUCAUUAUUAUUAUUAUUAUUAUUAUUAUUAUUUCCUACAUUUGCAGUCUGCAGAGCUCCUCUCUCGUGCUCCACUCGCCAGGUAUUUCCGGGGCUUUUCCUCGCGCGGAGAUGAUCACCCGUUCGGAAAUAAAUCAAUAAGAAGCCUCGCGCUAAUUUAUAAUCGUCCGCGCGAGGCCAUUGAUUCAACGCGCGUGAAAAAUGAGCCGCUGAACCCGUAUCCAGAGCCCGCGAGCUGAUUCUUUUUUUUUCUUAACCCGGACCGGAGCGGCGUGCACGAGGCUGAUAAGACUAAAGUGCUGAGGCGGAAAUGUUUCCACGAGGACAGGAGCAGCAGGAGCGCGAGCGAUUCUCUCUUCUUUUAUCAAAACUAAAAACACGGACUCUGAUUUGCUGAAAUUGAACUUCUCUCUUUCUCUGUCCUCGUGCUUUAUCUCCCUCACUGUCCUGAGUGCGCGUGUGUGUGUUUGUGCGUGUGUGUGUUUGUGUGUGGCAGUAAAGGCCUGUCGAUAUGCGUGGGUAGGGACCGUAAAUACACAGACAAAAGCAGGGAGAGCGCGAGCAAAGCCAAGUGCACGUUAGAGAUUUAUCAAAAGUCUAAAUUUAACUCUGAUAUCGCGAGAACUGAGGCGCCAAAACACCAGCAGGAAUAAAGAUUUACGAUCGAGAAUUAUGUCGAGAGAUUUCUCACGAUCUUCCUCGACAUGAACACAACAAACGGCCCAGCCCUUCAAAAUAAAAGCCCAAUUUUCUCCUAUUAUUGUUGUCCUCUCUCUCCUGACCUCUGGGUCUGUUUUUUGGUUUUAUAUUUUAACUCUUUAAAAUCAGUUUCUGUUCAAAUCUCUAAUCUGACCCGGAUGUCUGGAUUUCCAUGAACCCCCCUGUUGUCUGUGUUUCUCAUGUAAACAAGUCCAAACCUCGCGGAAACAGCUCUGUGCGCUCGCGGGUCAGAUCUCAGCGGACUGUCUCCUCUUCCUCUCCUCUCUCGGACCUUCCUCUCCCCUCUUCCUCUCCUCUCUCCCCUCUUCCUCUCCUCUGAUCGCUCUCAGUUUGACUCCAUGUAAUAACCAACAUCUGGCCUCGCGCAGCCGGGACGGACAGGCAGGUCACGCUGAACCUCGCCAAACCCCCGCGCGCACCUCAACCAGACUCCCCCUUAUUGGACGGGAACAAGAACCAGAACCCCCAUCCGCCUCCCCUCCUUCUCCUCCCCAGACUCCCUCUGGCCUGUCAGGCUGUCAGUCCGGAGCCCGGUUCAGGAACAGUUCACGCUGUCAGUGGACCUCCAAAACCAGGACAGGAGAGCCAAAGGUCCGAGGAGGGGAGAAGAGGGUGAGGAGGGGGGAGACUCAGGUGGAGGAACCCAAAGAAGAGAGGUCUGACUACCUGAGGGAAAAACCGGGACAUUCUGGUCCAGUUAGCAGAACAAGAAGGAGGAAAAUCUGGGCGAGUGUGAGGGGAGGAGGGGAGAGAGGGGAGAGAGGGGUGAGGAAGAAGAGGCUGAAGAAGAGCAGAGGGACUCAGCUCCUCUCUCUUGGGGGAGCAGGGAGAGGAAAGGGUGGAGGAGAGGAAAGACAGAGGUAGAGACAGAGGAGGAGAGCCCGGGGAAGACGGCGUCACGCUCACAACCCUCGGUCUGAGAAAAGGCUCGUGCAGCUCUCAGGGCCCUGCAGAGGAGCGCGAGCUGCUGCUGCUGGCACGGCACGCACCGGCCCCGCUACACGGAGGAUUCUGCAGCACGGGCGGAGGGGUGGGGGUUAAGCGCGCGCACGAGGUGUGUUUUUUAGGGGUAAAGUAGCACCGCGAGCCCCCAGACCGAGCAGUCCCCGUCAGCUGGUCUGCUGUAGGUCGACUCUGAUGGUUCCGGAGCUCGAGAUUUAUGGCUUCUCCCGAACCGGGCACGCAAACGUCUGUAGUCCCCUCACCGAGACGACCUCCUCAGCCAAGCAGCACCGGGAUUCACGCGCCGAGGAGGAAGAAGAGGAGCGAUCAGACUGAAGAGGAAGAGGGUCAGACCGGCUGCGCGUAAUUACGCACAACAAUCAGAGGAAACGUGUCCAAGAUCCCCGGGUCCACGGUGUCCGCACGUGUCCACGACAGAGAGAGAGAGAGAGAGAGGGAGAGAGAGAGAGAGAGAGAGCAGGUAAGGUCCGCCGGGAUGCUCCUCGCGCAGUGUCCCGGUGUGUUCCCGUGGCGUCCCCAUCCCACGCGCUCCGCCGCAGACAUGUCAUUAAUUAUCUGUUGUGUGUGACCGUGGUCUCUCUCUCGAGCUCACAGAGGCAUCCGGGGUGUGCCCGCGUGCAGGCUCUGAUGCUAGCCAAAAAGUUUUUUCUCUCUCCAGUGUGUGUGUGUGUGUGUGUGUGUGUGUGUGUGUGUGUGUGUGUGUGUGUGUGUGUGUGAAGACAGAUGCCUGAGGGUAGGUAACAAACACGCGGCUCUGUCUCUGUUUGUGUGUCUCUCUCAGCGUCAUUGAAGAAGUUUUGCAGGAGGUGUGUGUGUGUGUGUGUGUGUGUGUGUGUGUGUGUGUGUGUGUGUGUGUGUGUGUGUGUCUUGUAGUGAAUAGGGACCUGACGGCUAGGUGUAAAGAAAGAAGAUGCAUGUUAGCUGCUCUGUGAUUUAUGAUGGUGUGAAGAGAUUGCUUACUCAAGAAGCCGUCCCGUCCCCCUCCCUCUCUCCUCUCCUCUCCUCAGAUUGUCAUGUCCUCCUUCUCCUCCUUCCCCCCAAAACACACAACAGACCCACAAAUGGUCCUACCUGCAAAAACAGAUUCCUCCUUUAGCAGAUGCAUGUGAGGCGCUCAUUAAUUCACAGUUUCAGUCUGACCCUCAUCCAGCCUGACUGUGUUUGUAUCUUAUUGCAAACUCCUGCAGUCUAAAGUCCAUUUAAUCGGAGAUCUUUAGUUUAUAAAAGAGAAAUAAAAACACAAAUCUAAUCAUGCAUGUGCCGGAUUUAAGGAUUUAAAGUCCAUAAUAUUACAGAAAGUUUAUUAAAUAUCCGAUCACAUCCUUGUUUUCUUCUCCUGCUCGUUCUAAACCGACCAGACUUCAAUGUUUAGAAAUUACUUUAUUCAUUUUCUCUUCCUUCUUUAUCUUCUGAACUGUUUUUAGUUUCAUCAGGUUAUUUCUCAAGAGCAGAAACAGAGAAGCAGAUGUUGUUUUUUGUGCAGUAUCAGUGGAGGAUGAUGAGUUGGGUUAAAAUGUUGCUGUUAAAUAUAAAUAUCUGGAGUGAGCGGACAGCUCCUCCUGGAUCUUGACCUCGUGGUUUUUCCUCUCACUUCCGGCUAUAGAGACUUUAAAGUCAUGAUAAAGCCACAGCGACUCCAACGCAGCCGUGAUUUAAUUGAUUUUUUCAUACAUCACUGACAGACGAUGGGAAAAACACCAAUCAGAGUAAAAUAGAGGGGCGAGCGCGGCUGAGGCUGAGGCGGUGGAUAAAGGCUGACAGGUCUGGCUGAGGUCCAUGCGGCCGCUCUGCUGCUCCAACAGGCUGCCGGCCUGAUUAGGUUACAAUCACAGGCGUCUUUUUUUGAUCGCUGUGUCAGGAGAUGAGCAUGUUGUUAGGAAGCGGAUACAGGGUUAGGUUUUUACUCCUGCAGGUUGUUGACGAUCAGAGUAAUGAGGCCUCAAAGAAACUCAGGAAAUCCAUUUUAAAGACGACGCCAAACCGCAAAACGACUACAAAUACAUGCUGGAGAGUUUCUGAACAACAGGCAGUAACUGUAACAGUGAGUCUGUCUUGGGGCCCAACUCACAAAAAGAGAUCCAAAACAGUGAAGUGUCCUCCUGUAAACCUGCAGAGGAGCUGUGGAGAUGUUCUGCUGCAGAGCUCAGAGUUUUCCUCCAAGUUCUUCUCAAAGAUAGAUCUGUUGUCACUCUGAACCAAACCUUCAAAUCACUGCUGCUGUUUGGGAGUGCAGAUUUAUCUCAGUGAGGUCAGGUCUGCAGAUGCGUUGGUUUCUGGUUCAUGAUCUGGUCCUUGAUUCCUCUCUGUUUCUUUCUCUGCUCUAAAAAUUCACACUCUGAAUUUGGCUUUUCUCUAAAAUAAAUAUCUAAAUAUUCAUCAGUACUUGUUUUGAAUAACCAAACCUGAAGAAACUAUCUCAGAAAAAAAAAAACAUGCAUUUUUUUUUUUUUACGGUUAAAAUCCACGUAGAGCUUUUGGUUUGUGUUGAUUUUGGCGCCCCCUGUGGUGUUAUCUUGCGUGUACCUAACUUCGUAUUUCUUGACACAAAAAUUCACCUUUCCGUCUUUUAACUGUCAGAUUUAUUAACUCAUCCUGAUCAUUUCUUUCUCUAAACCCUGAUCACUGAGGUUCUGGACUCUUUUCAGACCUCUGAAUCGUCUUCUGUCUGUUUUUUGUUCCUUUACGUCUUUGAGAGAAAACUUAUUUUUGUCCGUUUUAUAACCAGCUGAAAAUUUUCUCGAGUGAGCUAUGAAAACAGUCAGCGGUCCAAAACAGACGGAGAAGGAAUAAAAUGUGGAGAAUUUCCCUAAAAUGAUUAAAACUGAACUGAAAGUGAACUUCUUAUUAGUGCGACAAAGAAAUACGACAUUAUUUUCUCAAUCAGAGGAAAAUGUCCAAAAUUGUAGUAUGAAAUUCUAACCUAAAUGUCUUUAAAUUAAUCUGUACAACCAAUAAGAAAAACUGAGUUAAUGCACAGACUGGUUUACUCAAAGAUUUCUGUGUUUUUAUGUCGAACUGAAGAUGAAAUCAUGAAGAUCCUGAAGAGUGGAAUUAAAUUUUAGAGAUCUGAAGAUAAUCGAGGAAAGAAAACGUUCAAACGUGGAAAAUGUUCAGAUUCAAGAUGUCUUUGUUUAGGUUUAGCAUCACAGCUCAGCUCAGCGCACGCACACACACACACACACACACACACACACACACACACACACACACACACACACACACACACACACACACACACACACACACACAGAGCAUUCACAUCCAUCCCUGUUUCUCUGACGCCUGACAGACUUGGUGAGCUUGGCACUUUUCACGGCCCAGGAGCAGAAAGGGCAGAGUGACCCCCUACAAACACUCAUCCCCUCUCUCUUUACCUCUCUCUCUCUCUCUCUCUCUCUCUCUCUCUCUUUACCUCUCUCUCUCUCUCUUUACCUCUCUCUCUCUCUCUUUCUCUCGCUCUCUCUGUCAGGCCUCUCUUUCAGUGCGAGGUUAAAGAUUAGCAUCUCUGAUAAAGAUUAACUCUCCGUCAAAGGAAGGCGCUGAUCGCAGGAGUUUCUGGUUCAGGAUUGUCGGUGACUCGGGGGGCGAGCUCUUCGGGGGGUGUAGAUGUGUGACCCUGCCUGCAGCGAGAGAGCGGGGUGAACACCACGUGACAAAACGCUGCGAUAUAAGAUCCGAGGCCUGAAACGUUCGUGUGUGUAGAAAUAAGAGGCUCGGUUUAACCGCUCCUCUGACGUCACACGAGCCUCACAGACGCCAUGAUCGAGGCCUGAGGUGCAUUAGUGAGCAGCCAUGUUGGUUUUCUGCGGCCACAAUAGAAGGUGUUUCAGGAGGCGAAGGAUUGUAGGCCCACAUCAUGAAGAGUGUGACUGAAAAAAUGGAGGUCUGCAGACAGAGAGAGAGCUGCUCUUUAGAGGGUUUAAAAGUAGACAUCAAAAAUAUCAUCAGUCUGUCACUCAAAGAGGCCACGCCCCUUUUUAUCAUCCUGAUCGUCUACUAAAAGGUCGUAUCCUCCGAUCGUAGCUGAUCGUAACCAUUCAAGUUAACGUGUUAAUUUACACCGACUUCUUUCCGUUCCUCUGCGGAUCGCCGGACUCCUCAGCUGAUCACAAGAGUUCUAUUUUUUCUGGACGCCGGAGCAUGGCGGAUAAAUUCAGCACAGAUUAACCUGUGCUGGAAAGGAAGUCGGGCACAGACACAAAAUAAAACAUCCGGCUUCCUUUCAAAAUAAAACACUCCGUGUUUCAGGAGGAUCGUAUUUCACACCAUGCAAACGGGCGGAGACGAACAAGUGAAAGGUUUUUAGACGUCAUUUCACCCCGAUGACACCAUGGAUGAGGAGAUGCUGAUUCUAGAAGUCUAGAAGUAGAUUUCCUCCUCUGGAAGGACACAAUCUACUGCUUAUAUGUCUAUGCGUCUGUCUUUAUAGAGACAACUCAUUAUCGUGAGAUUGCAUGAGGAUCCACGGGUUCUUGUGAGUUCUCGUGGUUACCGUUGUCCAUAAUUGUCGGACAGUAAAAAUCCCCACCGUUCCAGAUGGGGUGAAAAUUGAUGAUAAGGAUUGACUCAGUUUUGUAUCCAGCCCCGAGUGGACACUUGAGGAACUGCAGUUUCUUCUUCAUGUUUCCUCUCUUGGUUUUGGCUCGUCAGUAAACAGGAUGUGGUCUCCGCUCCAGUCUUGAUUGAAGCCUUCAGCUCUUAUUGUUGGUUAAUUUACACUCGGCUCUCAGACCCACACUGGAAAAUCAAAUGUGUGGACUUGAGCAGAAGCUCAGCUGUGCUCCAAACUGGACUCCAAUAGGUCUUUUGUACACAGGCAGAGCGUAAUGCCUCAGUUAUGUGUCCACAGCCACGAGCUACAGACUUCAUAAGUGGAAGAUUUGUUCAGAUUUCACAGGCUUGAAUGGAAAGAACAAAAUGAGGGGAUGUACAUCACAGCGGCACAUGAUGCCAUCUCUGCUGUCAUGCUUCAGUUCCCACCCUGGGUAACGACACAGAGAGACGCCGUCUUCUUCACAGAGCGAUGGCGGGACACGCCCGUGGAGGUUACGUCAUGUGGACUGGUCGUGGAGCGAACAGCCAACAAAGUGAUCUCAAAGCUGUGAAAGCGUUUUUGUUUCUCUUACGGAGGUUUUCGUUAAACUCAGAUUAGUUCUGUCAGCGUGGAGAGUCGGAGACCUAAACCAGCUCUUUGUUUGGCGUACAGUUCCUGCAGGUCCUACCUCAACGAUAGAGUUAGUGACUGCAGGCAUCAGUCAAGGGAUUAUUAUAUUUAUAUUGCGCUAAAUCUCAACGAUGGUUGUCUUGUGUGUAAUGUGGAGUGUUUCAAACAGCUGAUUGAAGGUCGACGGUGUUUGUGAUGUUUUCAUCGUUGUGUAAGGGGAUCUAAUCUAGUGCAGCUUCACAAAGGGACGGUACAGGAGGAUCCUAUCCUAUUGUUGUGUUUUGUGUAUAUAUGUGUAUUGUAGGGCUCCAUAUUGUAUCAUAAUACAGUUCAUGGUUUUAUAUGUCAGUGUGUCACUUUGUUUUGAAGAUCAUAUCAUAAAUCAUUAGAGAGUAUGAUGGCGUCUGUUCCUGUCAUAUAUAACAUAUCAUGACCUCCAUCACAUCAUAUUAUAUCAUCUAUAACAUUAUAGUGUGCACUGAUAGUGUUUCACAUUAUAUUGUGAUUUGUCUAUAUGACACAUGUGACAUAUUCUACUGUAAUAUUUUGUAGUAAUAUUAAACUGAAGAUCAGAAUUCAGUCUAUCUUAUCAUAUAAUGUCGUGUUGUUCUCUAUUACACACAUUUCAUUGUGUUGUAACACACUGUUAGUCCUGAAUCAUAACAUAAUAGGUUAUAUUCUAUCCUAGUAUAUUAUAUUAUAUUGUAUACAUCAUAUGCGUUGUCCUAUCAUAUAUAUGUAUAUAUGUAAUACUAAUCUCUUACACAGUACUCUUAUUUUACACUAUAACUCAAUAUUUGAUCAUAUUGCAUAUAUAUCAUCAUAUAUCCUUCCUUAUAAUAGAUCCUCCUAUCAGUUUACAUUGUUGUGUAACUCUAUAGUAUAAUAUAUCUACUGUAUCCUCCAUAUAGGACCACCUUAUAUCUUUAUGUAUUAUAUGUCUUGUUGCCCUAUAAUCCCUGAUCUGAUCAUGUUCCACCAUCUUAUCCUUCUGUAUUUUACUCCAACAGUUUCAAACUCUCUGAUACUCACAGAUCCGCAGAGAAGCGGCGGCGUCUUCCUCUCUCUCAGUUUCUCUCAUUAGUCCAGAUCUCCUCUCUGAAAACCGGGUGUUGAAACUCGUAUGUCAUCCACCCGGAGCCGAGGGCGAGGAGAUGAAAUGUGUUGCAGUGUAGUUUUGUCGUCGCUUGUCCAUUUUGGCGCGGCUGUGUUGGUGGUGUUGGUGAUGGCGCCGCGUGGUCGUUCAAGCUCAUUUCACCUCAAGGAAAAGCUUCACGUGGACCUGAUGAAAAACGUCGUUUUUGGCGAAGAAGUGACUGAUCGAUAGGAUGAGGUCAAAUCUGUAGAAAGACACAAAGGUGGAAGAAAGAAAAAGUGGAUGAGUUUGUGUUUUGGUUUUAUUUUUAACUUUUUCAGAGAAACAUAAACACCAACAACAGAGAACAUUUUAACAUUAAGUCUCAGAAACUCUAAUGAAAGAAAAACCCUGAAGAUCAUUUCUGAGGAAUGUUUGAAGCGGCGCUCUGGCGUUGCAGUAAAUGGCGUCAAAUCCGGAAAUUGGAUACACAUGGGGGGAUGUGUUCAGCAGAUGGGUUGUUUGAGGUCAGGACGUUUUGAAGCUGUUUUUCUGUAUUUCUCCAGCCAUGGCAACCGCAGUUUGAAACGUUUCUCAGGUGGUUGAAUUAGGCCGCGAGGUUUCAUAUGAAUUUCUGCAGUUUAACAACAACCUUUGCCAAAGUUGGCACUCGGCUCAGGAGCGAGUUGGAAGUCUGACGGUUCAGAAGAAACGCUCGUGUUUCUGUUAAAUUGGCUGUUUUCUUCAGGUGGGGUGGUUAACACUUAAAAUUGGUCUCUUUUUGUACUUUAUGGUUCUAGACUCAGAAUAUCUUUUACACUCAAGUUUAUCAUCAUUAAGUCAAACUGAGUUUCAUUUCUGCACAACAGCUGUGGAGAAACAAAUUCAGAUUUUACACUGAAUUAUAAAAUUUGACUGAACUUGCAGAAAAAAUUCCCCUUUUUAAAAUUUCUACAAACCCGGCCUUUGAUAACAUGUUUGUGUGACCUGUGUAUUUAAUCAGCUGUAUGUGUAUUUGUUCUAUAGUAAAUAUACUGGAGUUGUUCAGAGCAGCUCUCUCCUCUGACAGCCUAAAAGAAUCUGCUCGGAUUAAGAGCCCGGCUCGGCGCUCUGAGGAUUAAAUCAUAGAACAGUUCAUGAAAAUGAGGUCCUGGAGCACUUUUUAAGUGUGGGUUGAUCAUUAAAGAGCUGAGCUAUCGCUCCUCGGGGUCAAAGGUCACUUUUAGAGAGCUGAGCUCUAAUAUAUCACAGAGUGAGUGCUUUCGGCUCUGCGCUGAGCCAGGAGACGCCUUUUUUCCUUUCUUUUUACCGAGUCGAUCCUGACUCUGAGUUUUGGUUUUAUUUUCUGCUUUUUUGUCACAUUUUGGAGGAUCUGAGGUUGAAGUAUUUUAAUUCCAGAAACAUAAUGAGUGUUUGGAGCUGAGGUGAAAAGUUUGCAUAUGUUUCUGUGUGUGUGUGUGGGGGGGGGUGCUGAGGUAGGUCGGUGACGGCUCCACCAGACCGGGCCGAGAUAAGAGCGGAGAGCAGAGAUAAACUUUGUUCAGAGACGAUGAAACACAGAGCAGUAAACAGAGCAGUCAUCAGGAGGGAGAAUUUUUAUUUCAUAUAACAUCAGUAAAGUUUUUCAAAAGUACAAAAAUUCUGCUUCUAAAUUGAUUUAUGAAGUUUGAGGUCAAAUUCUUUAAAGCUUCAACAAAACCAGCUGAAAAAAACAAACAGGUUUAAACAGAUAUAAAGUUUUCAGACGUGUAAACUCAGAAAAAAAAACAGUUUUAAAAUGAAAGGAGGUGAUUCUUUGUACUUUGUCAGUGUGAGUUUUUGUUCCAGCUCUUCAUUCCUUCCUCUCCCUGGAGUCACAAUCUGCUGUUCACUCACUUUAGAUCCAUUUUAUUAAAUUAUACACAGACACACACAGACAGACAAACACAGAAGGGCUUUUUGUUACUUCCACCUCUGUUUCUGCUCCAUCCUUCUUCUCAAAAAACAGAAAAAAAAACUCUUCUUCACUGUUUGAUUUGGAUUCAGGAUCCUUCAGGAGGAUCUCAAAGUCCCCCCUCAUCAUCAUCCUCCUCUUCCUCCUCUUCAAAUUUGGCUCAUCAGCUGUUCUGCUGGCUCUGGAGGCGGCCUCCUCCCUUUGUCUCGGCCUCUGGGCUAGCUGGCUAAGCUAGUCGGCCCUCGCAUCACUUUCUGGGUAACUUUAGACUAGUCCACUCCUGCUCCGAGGCUCCAAAUAUCCGGCUGACCCGCGGGGCCGAGUGGGGACGAGCAGGGAGGAGAGCCCGGCCGGGAUGGAUGGCAGCCAGAGCUGUGCGUGAGUGCGUAAAAGAGAGAAAAAUCACUUUAUAGUGGUGGUAGUAGGUGUAGUAGGAGUUGUUGUAGUUGUAGUAGUGGAGGUGGUGAUGGUGGAGCAGGCUGGUACGGGAGGUCGAGGGAUCCUGGUUUGAUUUAUGUGUUUGGGGGAAGCUGUCACGAGCAGAAACAGGAGCAGCGCGCGGACUCACGUUUGAUUCCUGCGCGUUAAUAAUGGAGAAGAGCCGGAGAGCGCGUGCAUACCACCUCACACUCUUUACGCACAAAUAUUACACAACUUUAUCACCAUCAUCAUCCACCACCUCUACAGUCCGCGGGCACAGACAGGGAUGGAGCUGCAGCUGUUACCGGCCGGGAUCCGUCCUCUCACCCCGGGCAUGAGCACCGAGCGCAGCCCGGGAUGAGUGCUCUCUCCCCGGGCAGGAUGAGGAGUUAUUUAUGCGCUCGGAUGAGAAACAGCUGUUUGAAUUUCUUGGGUUCUUUCUCAUCUUUCUUUGCUCUUUUUUGGCCUGUUUGCUGUUUAACUCUUGAAUCAUUAUUAUGUUUUCACUAUUGCUGUUUUAAUCUGUUUAUAUUUGGACUUUAAGAGCUGGAAAUAAUAUUUUUAUGGACAUUAUCGUUCAAAUCUGCUCGGAUUUACACUCAGAUAAUGAACACUAGAUAUUCGAUAGUUUUUAUUUUUGAGUCUUCUUUAGUUUUACAUUUUUGUGUUAUUAAAUAUAUAAAAACACAAAUUUAUUAUUCUAUAUCUUUAAAACGGCUUAGACUCGUUUUAUUUUUUAUAUUAAUUUAAAGGUCUUUUUCUCUGUUCUUAGAGAUCACAUUUCUGUUUUCCUAGUUUGCCUUUUUCACUACAUUUUUCCCAAGUAUUUUUAAAAUAAUCUGGAUUUUUUUUAAUGUCUCGUUUCUGAUUGGAAAAAAAAACAUCCAUCUCGUUUUUUUUCCUCCUUCAUCAGACAUCGACAGGCUUUCCAAAUCAGACGUUUCCACCCUUUUAAGAGACAGAGGCAGCUCUGUAAAUAUGACAGGAUAUGUAAUAGGAUCAUCAGAAUCAAUAAGCUCAUGUUUCAGCCUCCUCUCCUCUCUGCACUUUGAUUUGUAUUCCGGGAUUUCUUUGUGAAUAAUUUGGACAGUAAGAACUCUGAGUCUCAGUUUAAACAAACAUUUCCAUCAAAUAUCUUCAUCUCUGUUUCUCUCUCUCUCUUCUGUCUGCAGGAGUUUUCCGGAAGCUGUUUUCUUCCAUCAAAUCAUCAGAAAAUAGGAGGAAAUCUCUCGGUGAGUCCAGAUCUGUUUUUACUUUAUUUUUAAUUUAAUUAGAAGAAGAGUUUAUAAAUCUGAGUGUUUAAUGAUCGAAACGACAAAGAGCAGAGAGGAUGCGCAGAUUUCGAUUCAUCACCUCGUGUUUGUGCGUAUUUAUGCAGAAUCAUUCAAAGUUAGACUACAAAAAUAUUUCUAAAUAUGUUUUAUCCUCUUUCAAAUAAUAAGAAAAUCGAUCUUAAAAUAAAUAAACUGUUUAAUUUUUAUCCGGAUAAUCCAAACAACAGAUUUGUCAGAUUCCUCAUAUUUUAUUCUUUGUUAGGAUUUAAUUUUAAUUAGUAGACUCCAGCUUUUACAGUCAUAACUCACUAAAUAUGAUCAUGAAUCAUCCAAAAGAACUUAAAGAUUGAAAAUGUUGCUGAUUCUGUUGGAAAUGUUCAUGUUGAAAUGAAUAUUCGGUUUUUACGCGCGGAGUUUGUGCCAAAUUCAUGCAAAAAAAUAAAGCGUGCAUGUGAUCUGAUGUUGUAUAUGACACGUGUUAAUGUAAUAUAAUCCAGAGGUGUGAAGGGCGUUCACAGCAGGACACACAGCAGGGUCAGUUCAUCAUUUCAGGACAGUUAUUAAAACAGCAAUCUGCGGCUACAGCAGCAGGACUGAGACCAACGCCAACAUCAGACCAACAUCACCAAGAGCAAAACUGCAGACCAGCUGCACAAUUAUUUACAUUCAGACCGUUUAGAAAAGAGCAAACACCCCUAAAAGUCCGUUUCUCUGUAAGAUUCUGACAUAUUUAUAUGAACAUGGAGUAAAACUGCGUAAAAACGGAUUUUAAUCCCCCAAAGUCUUAGGAAAUUCCUUUGUGCCCUCCUCAUGGCCCACAUGUCUCAGGUCCUGAGGGGGAAAAGGAAGAAAAAAAUGGAGGGAGCAUUUCCAUGGCUGUGCAGGGCGCAGAGUUUCAGUUGUGAAACCCAAUACCCGUGACUCAAUCCGAAACACGGAGCCGUCCAUGCGCGUCUGCCAUCCAGGAAAAUAAAGAAUAACUGCCAUCCUGCACAAGCACCGGCCUGCGUUUCCACGUCACUGCGUACAUGUAAUCCGCGUCUGAGUUCCCACACUUCUACCACUGCUGCUGCUGCUUCUCUGUGGAAACUCACAGUCAAAGAGCAGAAAGAGCUGAUUAGCAGUUUGGUUAAUGAGUAAAGAUCCGUGAGUCCUUCACACAAAAGCCUCUUUGGAGGAAAAGUUGCAGACGGACACAUUUCAGGCUCCCACCUUCCACCUACACGGAGGAGCUCAUCCUCACAUUUCUGCAGCCCACAGCGAAUGCUAUCUGCUUUAAAGUUGGGCUGUUUACACACACACACUCUCUCACACACACACUUUCUCACACACACACGCUGCUGGGUGCGAGAAAACUCAUAAAUCUUACGUAGCCAUAAACGACAGGGGUAGCGUCCUGAAUAAUAAAAAUAGAGGGAAGAGGGAGAGAGAGAGAGUGUGUGUGUGAGAGUGAGAGAGUUCCACACACACACAGGAGAAGAGAGGGUGUGUUUGUGUGUGAAACAAGUGUAGCUCCAUAUUUCCUCUCUGUUUCUGUUUCCUUUCUCCACUUUAAACUGAAAUGUUGAAUUUCUCUAAAAAUUGUCUGGAGGUGUUGAAUUCAGAGGCCUCAGAGUUUCUCCCCUGUCUCCUCCCCUCCUUCCUUCCUUCCCUUUUCUUUUCUUCCUUUAUUUAUCUUUUUCUGUGCAUAAGCAGCAGCAGGGGGAGACGAGGUGAUGAAAUGUUAACAAUACAGAGUGAGUGUCUAGUUUCUGCAGGGAGACAUGAAGGGGUUAGCUGCAGGAGAGGGGGGCUCUGCAGAAACAGGGAUUUAAAUAAAUACAUUAGCCUGAAAGAAGAAGAAGAAGGAGAAGAAGCAUAAAAAUGUCACCAAAAUAUGAAGGAGUGAUUUCACCAGAGGAUAAUAAACAACCUGUGGUCUGGAAGUGCAGAGAGUUCCCUCUGAUGGAGCUUUAAAUACUUAUUUAUGGAGAUCUGUGAAACAAAUUAAAGCUAACAGAUAAUAAUUCAGAAGCUCUGAAAGGACUGUGAUGUGAGAGCUGGUUGGUGCUUUGGUUUAAUCCGCCUCUGUUCAUCAUAAUCUCAGAUUUUACAGUCUAAUCUUUGCCUAAAUAGUCUUAUUUACGUUUUUUCUGACAUGUUGAAACCUCUAAGAUCUUCAUGUGGACUACAAAGUCUGUGUUCAUGAUGUUUGACCUUAUCCUGUCCACUCUCAUCAUCAUAGCUAACUAAUAGCUAACCUCGAUCGUAGUGGUCUCUUUUCUUAGGCCUGCUAGCCUGGACUAAUAAUCUGAAAAGAAAUUAUGUUAUAAAUAUGGCCUCCCCUCUAAAAUAGACUAAUAUUUUCUUGAAAUCAGAGUUUUUAAAGGGUAAAAUCAGAGUUCUGAUCAUGUUUCAGUGCUGCGUAAAAGUUCUCCAAGUUUACGCAGACCUCCUGUUGUUGGAGACUCUUUGUAAUCUCGGUUGUGACUGAAUGUGGAGCUUUAUUUGGGUGUAAGAGCAGACUCUCAGCAUGCUGGCAGGGCGAACAUCAGUGCCUGUGUGUUGCACUUGCAGAGAGAGUUAAUUAGCAUAAUUUGUGAGUGACGCUGAGCUGUUGUUUGAUGGAGAAUCAACGCGUCCGCGAGUCAAGCCCCGUUAUUCCCUCCGUUACACCCCGGGAGCGUCGCUGGUACCCGGGCUAGACUGUCGCCAACAACAUGGGAAUAUCAACAAGGAAACUCCAGCCGUACUGCGACUAUAUUUAGGCUGCUGGUGCUGCCGUUAGCCCUGCAGAGUCCGGGAUUAAAGCUCCGCGUAAAAAACCACCAGGGAGCGGAGCGAAGCGGGAGUUCAGACCCAGAGACAGAGAGGCAGGCGCGGAGGGACAGAGCCAGGAGACCCGGGGAGGAGAACCGGGGACAUAGAGGAGCAGAGAGGAGCAGAGAGGAGCUGUGGAUCAUGCGAUGGGGUGACAUUUUGUUGCGGAGCUGUGUGUCCGUCUGAGCGGCUGUUUUUUUUUGUUCUGGCUGGUUGUGACAGACUGAGGGGCUCAAACCGACACGAUUCUGAGGCCAUUGUUAUCAGCAGCAGCAGCGGUGCAGGCAGCAGCGGUGCUGGGGCGGAGGGCGGAGGUGGAGGGGGGUGGGGGGGCGCGAGCAGGCAGCAGGCAGGCUCCCGGUAAGCUCCUUCAGCUCGUGCGCUAGCUAGCCUGCCUGUAGCCUUGCACUACCGAGCCUUCCCGUUAAUUCAGACCCCCCCCACACACCGACGCCGUGUCUGCUCUGCUCUCUUAUCCGUUCAUGCCACACGGUGUCCGGGCUGCAGCCCCCGCGGAGCCCGGUCUGCUGGAGGCGGCUGGAGGAGGAGGAGGAGGUGGUGUUGUUGUGAGCCGUGCUAGUCUUCAGACAGCACCGGAGGAGGAGGAGAGGAGCACGGGAGGGAGCGGGGUCGCUCUUUAUUUCAUUAUUUACGGUUCUUAUUGAUCACCUGGUGGACGGACGCGCGUGAGGAUUUAUCUGUGAUGCGGUGCUGCUGCGGGGUCCGUGCCGGACUGGACCGGGACCACCGGUGCUAAGGGAAGGUAAGGAGCAGGAGUGUGUGUGUGAGUGUGUGUGUGUGUGCAGGCCAGCCGGUAACGCACGGGCUCCACAACAAACCAGAAAUACAGUGUGUGUGUGUGUGUGUGCGUGUUUGUCCGCGUGCAGCUCCAGGCUGGCUCAGUGAUUUAUGGCCCGUAUGACUUCAGACCCGGUUCAAGAAGAGUUCACACCGCUUUAAGCUGGAGCGGCCCCCCUCCUCCUCCUC